GAUGAAGAACGCAGCGAAAUGCGAUAAGUAAUGUGAAUUGCAGAAUUCAGUGAAUCAUCGAAUCUUUGAACGCACAUUGCGCCCGCCAGUAUUCUGGCGGGCAUGCCUGUUCGAGCGUCAUUUCAACCAUCAAGCCCUGCUUGCGUUGGGGUCCUGCGGCUGCCCGCAGGCCCUGAGAACCAGUGGCGGGCUCGCUAGUCACACCGAGCGCAGUAAUACAUCUCGCUUUGGGCGUGCGGCGGGUUCUUGCCGUUAAACACCCCCUUUUUACCAAGGUUGACCUCGGAUCAGGUAGGAAUACCCGCUGAACUUAAGCAUAUCAAUAAGCGGAGGA
rnacentral:misc_RNA from 1 species